ACGAGGCUUUAUAAUAAUAAAGUCUAGUCAAGAAUAAUUAAAUAGCCGCUUUCGUGCUAAGGUAGCAUAAUAAUUUGUCUUUUAAUUAAAGACUAGAACAAAAGACUUAUACAUUUCAAUUUAUUUUUUUAAUCAAAUUAUUUAAAUUAUCUUAAUUGUAAAAGACAAUUUUUCAAUAGUAAAGACGAUAAGACCCUAUCGAACUUUACUUUAGUUUAACUGGGGAAGUUAAUUAAUUAUUAUUUUAAAUAAAUUAAAUAUUAAAAUUGACCUAACAUAGUUAAUCAAUUAAUUAAGUUACCGUAGGGAUAACAGCAUAAUAAAAUUUAUUAGACCUAAUUUAAAAUUAAGAUUAUGACCUCGAUGUUGAUUUAAUAUCCUAUUUCACGCAGUAGUAAACUAAGGAAGUCUGUUCGACUUUUAAAAAUU
rnacentral:rRNA from 1 species